UACAGAGGUCUCGAGCGUUAAUCGGAGUCACUGGGCUUAAAGGGUGCGUAGGCGGAUCUUCAAGUGUCUUGUGAAAUCCCACGGCUCAACCGUGGAAUUGCUCGAUAGACUGGAGAUCUUGAGGUUGGUAGGGGUCGCUGGAACUCUAGGUGGAGCGGUGAAAUGCGUAGAUAUCUAGAGGAACGCCGAAGGUGAAGACAAGCGACUGGGCCAAAUCUGACGCUGAGGCACGGAAGCGUGGGGAGCAAACGGG
rnacentral:rRNA from 1 species